rnacentral:sRNA from 1 species
AGAUAGAUACAUGGCCAGGAAUAUGUCAAUGCUUUUCAAAGCUCUUAUUCCCCAAAUUGUCUCCUUCCCCAGCCCUUCCUCCCAAGGUUUUUGGUUUGUAUUUUUGCCCCAACUGUUUUUCCUUGCCCCCAGGAACCAGAGACUAAUAAUGUCCUUUCCUUUAAAUGUUUUCAAGGAAAGUUCCAAGUUAGGCAAAAUAAAUGUAAGUCCUUUGGGCUCAUCCUUCAGGGAGCCACCAGACAGGUAAAAAUAAAUAAUUUUUAUUGUUUAUUCUUUGACAAUAAGAAAUAGGCCCCCUUUGCUUCCUCAGUACUAGGAAACCAUACUGGGAAUAUGGGUUAUCUUCAAAGCUGUUGCUGAGCAGGAGACAGAGCCAGCACAAGUUAAAACACUACAAAGCCCUUUUACUGGGACUCAGGUAGUUUUUUGUUUCCUUUUUCCUCAUUAAAGGUUUGCCUGGUUACUAUAAACUUUUGAUUAGUUUUGAGAGUUCCGACAGUUGAUUCUGACAGAUUUUGCUGGUUAAUUUGCUGCUUUCGUGGAGGGACAAGCUUUUGUCAUUGUUUAUUAUACUAUUUUCACUGACAUACCCUGUAUUUUUUUAAAUGUGGGUUGCAGCCCGCUAAUGAAUUAGUAUCUACAGUUUGAAAAAAUUGUCUGAUAUCCUUGUUGUCCUAAAAAAUAUAUGAACUAAGUAGUUAGGGGAAUUCCAUUCUAAGAGUAUGUUGAUUUAACUCUGUUCACUUUAACAAAGAAGUCUGAAAAUAUAACAAGUUUUGUUUCACCGUUCUUCAAAUGUCUUGGCAAAAUUGAGUACACUGCUUACCAUGUGUGUUAUUAGGAUAUCCAGGAGUUUUAGUGAUAUGGGAUCCCAAUUAUAGAUGUGUUCAUGUCCACAAAGUCCUCGUACUUCAGGGAUGUUUGUACUGUGCAAUUGCUUCUUAGAAUGAUGUUACGGAUAGACUAUCUUGUCCUUUGCUUCAGCUUUGGGACAUCCGGAAGAAAGCAGCCAUCCAGACAUUUCAGAACACGUACCAGGUGUUAGCUGUGACCUUCAAUGACACAAGUGAUCAGAUUAUUUCUGGUGGAAUAGAUAAUGAUAUCAAGGUCUGGGACCUGCGCCAGAACAAGUUAACCUACACCAUGAGAGGCCAUGCAGAUUCAGUGACUGGCCUGAGUUUAAGUUCUGAAGGCUCUUAUCUUUUGUCCAAUGCAAUGGACAAUACAGUUCGUGUCUGGGAUGUCCGGCCGUUUGCCCCCAAAGAGAGGUGUGUAAAGAUAUUUCAAGGAAAUGUGCACAACUUUGAAAAGAACCUUCUGAGAUGUUCUUGGUCACCUGAUGGAAGCAAAAUAGCAGCUGGCUCAGCCGACAGGUUUGUGUAUGUGUGGGAUACCACAAGCAGGAGAAUAUUGUAUAAGCUGCCCGGCCAUGCUGGCUCCAUCAAUGAAGUUGCUUUCCACCCUGACGAGCCCAUCAGCAAGCUCCCCAUGGCCUCUAAAAACCACCUGCCAGAUUUCAGGGACUGUUUUAUUUUUUUCUUUUUCUUUUUUCCUGUUUUCUAAUGCAGGCCCAAUGUGACAAAUUUGUUGGUUGGGAUUUUUUUUUUUUUUUGGUAACUGGCUUGUAUGAUAUUUUCUUUCUGUAUUUCUGUAAAUCAUUUUGUAUUAAAAGCCAAAUAGAUGCCUUUUUACAAG